rnacentral:rRNA from 1 species
UACGUAGGGGGCUAGCGUUGUCCGGAAUCAUUGGGCGUAAAGAGCGUGUAGGCGGUCCGGUAAGUCCGCUGUGAAAGUCGGGGGCUCAACCCUCGAAUGCCGGUGGAUACUGUCGGGCUAGAGUGCGGAAGAGGCGAGUGGAAUUCCUGGUGUAGCGGUGAAAUGCGCAGAUAUCGGGAGGAACACCUAUUGCGAAGGCAGCUCGCUGGGACGUAACUGACGCUGAGACGCGAAAGCGUGGGGAGCAAACAGG